AGAGUUUGAUCCUGGCUCAGGGCGAACGCUGGCGGCGUGCCUAACACAUGCAAGUCGUGCGACGGCCCUCGAGAAGUCCCUUCGGGGAUGGAUUGAGGGCACGGAGCGGCAAACGGGUGAGUAACACGUAGCUAACCUGCCCCCGCGACGGGGAUAACCCUCCGAAAGGGGGGCUAAUACCCGAUGGUCUCCCGGGGUCACAAGAUCCCGGGAGUAAAGGCGCUGGGCGACCGGCGCCGCGCGGGGAGGGGGCUGCGGCCCAUCAGGUAGUUGGUGGGGUAAUGGCCCACCAAGCCUAUGACGGGUAGGGGGCCUGAGAGGGUGGCCCCCCACACGGGGACUGAGACACGGCCCCGACUCCUACGGGAGGCAGCAGUGGGGAAUCUUGGGCAAUGCCCGCAAGGGUGACCCAGCGACGCCGCGUGCGGGAAGAAGCCCUUCGGGGUGUAAACCGCUUUUCUGGGGGAAGAAUAAGGCGGGGAGGAAAUGCCCCGCCGAUGACGGUACCCCAGGAAUAAGGGCCGGCUAACUACGUGCCAGCAGCCGCGGUAAGACGUAGGGCCCGAGCGUUGCCCGGAUUUACUGGGCGUAAAGUGCGCGUAGGCGGUUCGGCAAGUCGCCCGUGAAAGCCCGGGGCUCAACCCCGGGAGGCCGGGCGAUACUGCCGGGCUAGAGGACGGCAGAGGAGGGUGGAGCGGCCGGAGUAGCGGUGAAAUGCGUAGAUACCGGGAGGAACACCAGUGGCGAAGGCGGCCGACUGGAACUGACCUGACGCUGAGGGACGAAAGCCAGGGGAGCAAACCGGAUUAGAUACCCGGGUAGUCCUGGCCGUAAACGAUGGAUGCUAGAUGUGGGCGGGGAGACCCGUCCGUGUCGCAAGCUAACGCGUUAAGCAUCCCGCCUGGGGAGUACGGCCGCAAGGUUGAAACUCAAAGGAAUUGACGGGGACCCGCACAACCGGUGGAGCGUCUGGUUUAAUUCGAUGCUAACCGAAAAACCUCACCAGGGCUUGACAUGCGGUGUGUCGUGGCCGAAAGGUCGCUAGGGUACCCUUUUGGGUACCCGCGCCGCACAGGUGGUGCAUGGUCGUCGUCAGCUCGUGUCGUGAGAUGUUGGGUUAAGUCCCGCAACGAGCGCAACCCUUGCCCUGUGUUACCAGCGGGUAAAGCCGGGUACUCACAGGGGACUGCCGGCGAUAAGCCGGAGGAAGGAGGGGAUGACGUCAGAUCAGUAUGCCCUUUAUGCCCUGGGCUACACAGGCGCUACAAUGGCAGGGACAAAGGGAAGCGAAGCCGCAAGGUGGAGCAAACCCCAAAAACCCUGUCGUAGUGCGGAUUGGGGGUUGCAACUCACCCCCAUGAAGGCGGAAUCGGUAGUAAUGGCGGAUCAGCAAUGCCGCCGUGAAUACGUUCCCGGGUCUUGUACACACCGCCCGUCACGCCACGGGAGUUGGGUUCAUCGGAAGUCCCCGGGCCAACCCGCGAGGGAGGCAGGGGCCGA
rnacentral:rRNA from 1 species